rnacentral:rRNA from 1 species
UUCCAGACUCCUACGGGAGGCAGCAGUCGGGAAUAUUGCGCAAUGGAGGAAACUCUGACGCAGUGACGCCGCGUAUAGGAAGAAGUUUUUCGGAAUGUAAACUAUUGUCGUUAGGGAAGAGAAAGGACAGUACCUAAGGAGGAAGCUCCGGCUAACUACGUGCCAGCAGCUGCGGUAAUACGUAGGGAGCGAGCGUUAUCCGGAAUUAUUGGGUGUAAAGGGUGCGUAGACGGGAAAACAAGUUAGUUGUGAAAUCCCUCGGCUUAACUGAGGAACUGCAACUAAAACUAUUUUUCUUGAGUGCAGGAGAGGUAAGUGGAAUUCCUAGUGUAGCGGUGAAAUGCGUAGAUAUUAGGAGGAACACCAGUGGCGAAGGCGACUUACUGGACUGUAACUGACGUUGAGGCACGAAAGUGUGGGGAGCAAACAGGAUUAGAUACCCUAGUA